CCUGGCCCCGCCGCUCCGUAUGAAACCUCCGCGCCUGCCUGGGCCCUUGGCCCUGGGUCGCCUCAUUUUACCCCAAACGGCCACUAUGUUGGGAGCUUACCGUGUGCCUAGCGCUGGGCUUUCUGUGUCAUAUGCAACCUAACAAGCUUGUGAAGUUAGCACCACUGUGCCGCGGGGCCGGAAACCCAGUCUCCGAGUCAGAAAGGGGGUUUCGCCCAGUAAAGGGAGAACCAGAUGACUGGAAAGAAGAACGGAUGGGAACAGACCAGAGCUGGGUUGAACCCGGACCCUGCCACCACCUAGCUGUGUCACGCCAGCCAAUUUUUUGACGUCUCCCAUGCUCCCUCCUUCAUUUCCCAGUAGUGACUGAGCACCUCCUGUAUAGGUGGCUGUGUUCCUCCAGCACGUAUAGAUCUGUGUGCCCAGCACACGAAAUGGCAUCUAUCACCACUGAGCACUUCACUUCAAGCUCUGGAAAAGGGCAGGGACCAGGCCUGUCUUCAGCACCUUGAGCGAAGCAGGGAAUCCUCAGGAAGAAGCAAAUCUCCCUCCCUAGUCUCCAGCCCAAACCUCCACUUACCCGGCUUCCAUCACUGACACUAACAUGGACAGGAUGGAGAGCUCAUCCAGGUUGGGCGUGGCCUGCACUCUGUGAAGACCUUCAUAGGCGCGAAACCGGCUUCCUCCUGUAGGCCCUAUCCCUCAUCUAACAUUUUAAACACACCCACCUCUCACCACAAAUAUAACUUUUUGGCUGUAAAACAAUUUGAAAGGCUUUUUGCCAUUUUGCUUUUGAAAAUUUUUGGCCAUGAGUAAUUUAUUUCUUUUAUGGUUGGCUAUGAUUUCUUACCCAUCUUGGUGCCUACCUGGGAAAUCUUGCACAGUGAGAGAAGUCCAACCUGCAAACUGUUAUCAAAUGAGAUGAAAUUUUUAUGACUACUAAAUUCAACAGUUAAUGAAGUUGACAUAAUGUUACAUUUUGCAUUUAAUUGAAUAUUUACUGAUUUUAAUGUUGUAGUUUUCUACUUGGUAUU